UUAAAAUAGUUUAAAAAUCCUUGUAAGUGUAUUUAAAUAGUAAAAAAUCCUUGCAAGUCUAUUAAAAUAGUGAACAAAUCUUUGUACAGGGUAUUAAAAUAGAAAAAAAUCUGUGUGGAGGGUAAUAGAAUAGUGAAAAGAUCCUUUUAAGUAUUAAAAUAGUAAAAAUAUCCUUGUAUAGGGUAUUAAAAUAGUAAAAAAAUCCUUGUAAGUGUAAUAAAACAGUACAAAUAUCCUUGUGCAGGGUAUUUAAAUAGUAAAAAAAAAUAUAUUAAAAUAGUAAAUAGAAUCCUUGUAAGUGUAUUUAAAUAGUAAAUAAAGUCCAUGUAAGUGUAUUAGAAUGGUAAAAAAAUAAUUGUACAGGAUAUUAAAGCAGUAAAAACCAAAAUGUGCAGGAUGUUAAAAUAGUAAAAAAAAAAAAAAUCCCUGUAUAUGUAUCAAAUAGUCUCCUGGUACACAUUAUGAAUAGAGAAAUCAAAUCCUUGUAAGUGUAUUAAAUAGUAAAAUAUCCCUGUGCAGGGUAUUAAAAUAGCGGGGAAAAAAAGAAAUUAAGGAAGAUAAGGCACUGGGCUGAACUUUUAGAAGUGUGUUUCCAACAGGCCUCUCCCAAAGCCCGGGGGUACAAAAUUCCCGGGAAUUCCAGGCAGUCCCGGGGAGCUCCUGCAGUUUCCAGGAGCAUCCCGGGAUUCCUCCUUUCCCAGCAGGAUCUGGGCUCUCAGGCCCGAGUUACAGGGAGCCCAAAAGCCAGGCUGGGCUUCAUUUCUGUCUGGAAUUGGCUGAAAGGGAGGUUUUGGGGGGUUUUUGUUUUUAACCCA